rnacentral:rRNA from 1 species
ACGCUGGCGGCAUGCCUUACACAUGCAAGUCGAACGGUAACAGGUCUUCGGAUGCUGACGAGGGGCGAACGGGUGAGUAAUACAUCGGAACGUGCCCAGUGAUGGGGGAUAGCUCGGCGAAAGCCGGAUUAAUACCGCAUACGCCCUGAGGGGGAAAGUGGGGGAUCGCAAGACCUCACGUUAUUGGAGCGGCCGAUGGCUGAUUAUCUAGUUGGUAGGGUAAAGGCCUACCAAGGCGACGAUCAGUAGCUGGUCUGAGAGGACGAUCAGCCACACUGGGACUGACACACGGCCCAGACUCCUACGGGAGGCAGCAGUGGGGAAUUUUGGACAAUGGGGGAAACCCUGAUCCAGCAAUGCCGCGUGUGCGAAGAACGCCUUCGGGUUGUAAAGCACUUUUGUCACGGAAGAAAUCCUUUGGGCUAAUACCCUAGGGGGAUGACGGUACCUGAAGAAUAAGCACCGGCUAACUACGUGCCAGCAGCCGCGGUAAUACGUAGGGUGCAAGCGUUAAUCGGAAUUACUGGGCGUAAAGCGUGCGCAGGCGGUUGUGUAACACAGGUGUGAAAUCCCCGGGCUUAACCUGAGAAUUGCAUUUGUGACUGCACGACUAGAGUGAGUCAGAGGGAGGUGGAAUUCCACGAGUAGCACUGAAAUGCGUAUAUAUGUGGAGGAACACCAAUGGCGAAGGCAGCCCCCUGGGAUAACACUGACUCUCAUGCACGAAAGCGAGGCUAACAAACAGGAUUAGAUACCCUGGUAGUCCACGCCGUAAUCGAUGUCAGAUAGUUGUUGGGGAUUUACUUCCUUGGUAACGUAGCUAACGCGUGAAGUUGACCGCCUGGGGAGUACGGCCGCAAGGUUAAAACUCAAAGGAAUUGACGGGGACCCGCACAAGCGGUGGAUGAUGUGGAUUAAUUCGAUGCAACGCGAAAAACCUUACCUAUCCUUGACAUGGCAGGAACUUUCCAGAGAUGGAUUGGUGCUCGAAAGAGAACCUGCACACAGGUGCUGCAUGUCAGUUGUCAGCUCGUGUCGUGAGAUGUUGGGUUAAGUCCCGCAACGAGCGCAACCCUUGUCAUUAGUUGGUACGAAAGGGCACUAUAAUGAGACUGCCGGUGACAAACCGGAGGAAGGUGGGGAUGACGUCAAGUCCUCAUGGCCCUUAUGGGUAGGGCUUCACACGUCAUACAAUGGUCGGUACAGAGGGUUGCCAAGCCGCGAGGUGGAGCCAAUCCCAGAAAACCGAUCGUAGUCCGGAUCGCAGUCUGCAACUCGACUGCGUGAAGUCGGAAUCGCUAGUAAUCGCGGAUCAGAAUGCCGCGGUGAAUACGUUCCCGGGUCUUGUACACACCGCCCGUCACCCCAUGGGAGUGGGUUAUACCAGAAGUGGGUAGUCUAACCGCAAGGAGGACGGUCACCACGGUAGGACUCAUGACUGGGGUG